UGAGUAUGAGUCGCCGAUGUUGGUGACGCGAGACGAUGGUAUUUGUGUGUGUGUGUGGCCUCUUUAGGUCGAGAGGUGGAGGAGUGAGUAUGAGUCGCCGAUGUUGGUGACGCGAGACGAUGGUAUUUGUGUGUGUGUGUGGCCUUUUUAGGUCGAGAGGUGGAGGAGUGAGUAUGAGUCGCCGAUGUUGGUGACGCGAGACGAUGGUAUUGGUGUGUGUGUGUGGCCUCUUUAGGUCGAGAGGUGGAGGAGUGAGUGUGAGUCGCCGAUGUUGGUGACGCGGAAUAAUGGUGUGUGGGUGUGUGCGUGGCCUAUUAGGUCGAGAGGUGGAGAUAUGGGUAUGAGUCGCCGAUAUUGGUGACGUGGAAUGAAGGUGGUUGGGUGUGUG
rnacentral:lncRNA from 1 species